UAGGGAAUCUUCGGCAAUGGGGGCGAACCCUGACCGAAGCAACGCCGCGUGAGUGAAGAAGAUUUUCGGAUCGUAAAGCUCUGUUGUAAGAGAAGAACGUGUGUGAGAGUGGAAAGUUCACACAGUGACGGUAACUUACCAGAAAGGGACGGCUAACUACGUACCAG
rnacentral:rRNA from 1 species